rnacentral:sRNA from 1 species
AUCAAACUGUCAUCAAUUCUCUUCUUUUUUACUUUUUUUUUUGCUAGCCAGGUUUUCAUUUCAUACUACAAUAAAUAACAGAGAAAAAACAGGAUCGACUAUAGGUUGAAACCGAGUAUUGAUAUUUUUUGGUUUCUUUUGCGAUUAUUCUCUCAACUUCUGAAAAACCAUAGUUAACCCGCUUCUCCGCUUGGAAUGUGUAGAUUUAAAUUGGUAUCAAUCAUUUUCGAUUAACUGCAUGAGCGAUUAUUGAAAUGGCACCGCCAGACUCGCACACACCCAGUCAUGUAGCGCAAGAAACAUCCAAAGAGGAAAAAAGAGCA